rnacentral:rRNA from 1 species
UGCGUAGGCGGAAUGAUAAGUCAGAGGUGAAAUCUCCCGGCUCAACCGGGAAACUGCCUUUGAUACUGUCAUUCUUGAGUACAGUUGAAGUGGGCGGAAUACGUCAUGUAGCGGUGAAAUGCAUAGAUAUGACGUAGAACACCGAUAGCGAAGGCAGCUCACUAAGCUGUAACUGACGCUCAGGCACGAAAGCGUGGGGAGCAAACAGGAUUAGAUACCCUGGUAGUCC